AGGAUAAACGCUGGCGGCGUGCCUAACGCAUGCAAGUCGAACGAGGCCUUCGGGUCUAGUGGCGGACGGGUGAGUAACACGUAGGAACCUGCCCGGAAGUGGGGGACAACUCCGCGAAAGCGGGGCUAAUACCGCAUACGGUCUACGGACCAAAGCCUUCGGGCGCUUUCGGAGGGGCCUGCGGCGGAUUAGCUAGUUGGUGGGGUAACGGCCUACCAAGGCGACGAUCCGUAGCUGGUCUGAGAGGAUGAUCAGCCACACUGGGACUGAGACACGGCCCAGACUCCUACGGGAGGCAGCAGCGAGGAAUUUUCCGCAAUGGGCGAAAGCCUGACGGAGCAACGCCGCGUGGGGGAAGAAGGCCUUCGGGUUGUAAACCCCUGUUGCGAGGGAAGAAGAUCUGACGGUACCUGCGAGGAAGCCACGGCUAACACGUGCCAGCAGCCGC
rnacentral:rRNA from 1 species